GAGGAAUAUUGCGCAAUGGCCGAAAGGCUGACGCAGCGACGCCGCGUGAGGGAUGAAGUCCGUUAGGAUGUAAACCUCUUUUGCAGGGGAUGAAGCUGCCGCUACAGGCGGCAGUCGACCGUACCCUGCGAAUAAGGGUCGGCUAACUACGUGCCAGCAGCCGCGGUAAUACGUAGGACCCGAGCGGUGUCCGGAUUUACUGGGUGUAAAGGGCGUUUAGGUGGGCGCUUAAGUCGAUGGUGAAAUCCUGCGGCUCAACCGUAGAAUUGCCGUCGAUACUGGGCGUCUUGAGUACGGCAGAGGGAGAUGGAAUUCAUGGUGUAGCGGUGAAAUGUGUAGAUAUCACGAAGAACACCGGUAGCGAAGGCGGUCUCCUGGUCCGUUACUGACACUGAGGCGCGAAAGCGUGGGGAGCAAAC
rnacentral:rRNA from 1 species